UACGUAGGUGGCAAGCGUUGUCCGGAUUUACUGGGCGUAAAGAGCGCGCAGGCGGUCGUUCAAGUCGCGUGUGAAAGCCCCCGGCUCAACUGGGGAGGGUCAUUCGAUACUGUUCGACUCGAAGGCAGGAGAGGGAAGUGGAAUUCCCGGUGUAGUGGUGAAAUGCGUAGAUAUCGGGAGGAACACCAGUGGCGAAGGCGACUUCCUGGCCUGUUCUUGACGCUGAGGCGCGAAAGCGUGGGGAGCGAACAGG
rnacentral:rRNA from 1 species